rnacentral:rRNA from 1 species
UACAGAGGGUGCAAGCGUUAAUCGGAAUUACUGGGCGUAAAGCGUGCGUAGGUGGUUUUUUAAGCUGGAUGUGAAAUCCCCGGGCUUAACCUGGGAACUGCAUUCAGGACUGGAAAACUCGAGUCUGGGAGAGGGUGGUGGAAUUUCCGGUGUAGCGGUGAAAUGCGUAGAUAUCGGAAGGAACAUCAGUGGCGAAGGCGACCGCCUGGCCUAAGACUGACACUGAGGCACGAAAGCGUGGGGAGCAAAC